rnacentral:rRNA from 1 species
UACGAAGGGGGCUAGCGUUGCUCGGAAUUACUGGGCGUAAAGGGAGCGUAGGCGGAUAGUUCAGUCAGAGGUGAAAUCCCGGGGCUCAACCUCGGAACUGCCUUUGAUACUGGCUAUCUUGAGUAUGGGAGAGGUGUGUGGAACUCCGAGUGUAGAGGUGAAAUUCGUAGAUAUUCGCAAGAACACCAGUGGCGAAGGCGGCUCACUGGCCCGAUACUGACGCUGAGGCACGAAAGCGUGGGGAGCAAACAGG